rnacentral:rRNA from 1 species
AAACCGCCCAGAGGUAAACGGGUGGAUCCGCAAAGUCGGCCUGCGGAAUUCAACGCGGCGCGCAGUCCGGGGCUGCCGUGACUCGGGAUCCCUGGGACCCGGUUGCGGUGCCGAGCCGGACUCCGCCGCGUGCACUUUCCGCGGGCAGAGAGCCACAACCGGUUCGGUGGAGCGCGGUGACAAGCCUGUUGGGUUGUAGGUGGGGGCGCUCGCGUCCCUACCAGCCCUUCACGGCGAGCCGCCGCCGGACCGAGGAACCGCCGCGCGCCUCGAGGCCACCCUCCCCUCCGGGUGAGUUCGACAGGGAGAGACUGGGCAACCGUGUCUCCCGACCGCUCACCCGCGAUCGGAGUGGGGAUGGCCGGGCGCGCUCAGUCUGACAGGGUUGGUGGCAAGUCUGUCGGCAUUCCACCCGACCCGUCUUGAA